CCCAUGCCAAAUGGAUGGCCCUACCCACCCCCUCUGCUGACUGCAAACUUUCUGCCCACAGUAUGACAUGGGUGCCUUCCAACCCAGUGCACCAUCCUCCAUGCACCACCCGCCACCAGAGGAGAAGGGAAAGGCCUUCCUCCAGCACUUCCUGGACACUCUCCCUGAAGUCGACACCACUGCCUGGUGUCCUGGUGGCUCUCACCCUCCUCAGCUCCUGCCUGGAAGACGUUGUGAGCCUUCCUCACCGCUUGGGUACACCCAAGCCCAGACGGUGGUCACCAUUGCCCUGCUGACACCAGCACGCCCAGCUCCCAGAACCAGGACACCCUCAGCACCUAGCCCACAUCAGCACUCAGAACCAGGAACCUCUAGCACCCAGCUACCAGCACACCUUGCACUCAGUGCACACAAUACACAGAACUCGGCACCUCCAGCACUCCUCAGACCCAGCACCUGCGCACCCCCGGUACCUAGCACCUCAUGGCCUAGUUCUCAAAACCCAAACAUCCCAAGGACUCAGCAUGCUCAGCACCAAGAGCUCAGCACCCGCAACGCUCAGCACCCACCGCAUGUGCACCCUCAGAAACCCCAGCAUGUGAGCAACCAGCAUGCCCAGCACACAAAAUUAGGCAUCCCCAGCACCCACUUCUUCAAUAAAUGACAUCUGUCAGUCAAACUCUCUGCGUGCUGUUUCAGGUGCAAGUGUCUGGCCACUUCGGGGCCAACCAAAAGACGAAGCAUAUUACUAAGGACAUCAUCCAAAUGCCUCUUGACCACUGACAGGCACGAGGCAUCAACCAGCUCUUUAGGAAGCUUGGUCCAGUGCUGAUCAUCUUUAGAGUAAAGGCAUUUUUCUUAGUUGUAGAGUCAUAGAACGGUUUGGGUUGGAAGGGCCCUUAAGAUCACCAAAGUUCCAACCCCCUGCUAUAGGCAGGGACACCCCCCACUAGACCGGGCUGCUCACAGACCCAUCCAGCCUGGCCUUGAACACCUCCAGGGAGGGGGCAUCCACAACCCCUCUGGGCAACCUGCGCCAGUAUCUCACC
rnacentral:lncRNA from 1 species